rnacentral:rRNA from 1 species
CAAGUCGAACGCGAUUUUCCCGGUUAGCAAUAACUGGGAAAAUUGAGUGGCGAAUGGGUGCGUAACACGUGGGAAUUUACCCGGAAGUGGGGGAUAGCUCGUCGAAAGGCGAAUUAAUACCGCAUGUGCCCGUAAGGGCAAAGUGGGGGACCGUAAGGCCUCACGCUACCGGAGGAGCCCGCGUCCUAUCAGCUAGUUGGCGGGGUAACGGCCCACCAAGGCUUAGACGGGUAGCUGGUCUGAGAGGACGACCAGCCACACUGGAACUGAGACACGGUCCAGACACCUACGGGUGGCAGCAGUCGAGGAUUUUUCUCAAUGGGGGCAACCCUGAAGGAGCGACGCCGCGUGGAGGAUGAAGGGCUUCGGCUUGUAAACUCCUGUCACCGACGAACAAAGCAUCCGGUUGAACAUUCCGGGUGAUUGAUGGUAGUCGGAGAGGAAGGGGCGGCUAACUCUGUGCCAGCAGCCGCGGUGAUACAGAGGCCCCAAGCGUUGUUCGGAUUUACUGGGCGUAAAGGGUGUGUAGGGGGUCGGGUUAGUUUGACGUGAAAGCCCGCUGCUUAACAGCGGAACGGCGUCGAAUACUGCCCGGCUGGAGGUUCGGAGAUGAGAGCGGAAUUCUCGGUGUAGCGGUGAAAUGCGUAGAUAUCGAGAGGAACGCCGAAGGCGAAAGCAGCUCUCAAGACGACACCUGACCCUGAGACACGAAGGCCAGGGGAGCAAACGGGAUUAGAUACCCCGGUAGUCCUGGCAGUAAACGGUGCUCAUUAGACGUGGGCGGAUUCGACCCCGCCCGUGUCGAACCUAACGGAUUAAAUGAGCCGCCUGGGAAGUACGGUCGCAAGAUUAAAACUCAAAGAAAUUGACGG